GAUUUUUAUAUCGAUAUAAACAAUAAUGCAUGAGUCAAUUCCAGGAGUAACCAUCCCCCCCCCGGAACACACCCGGGCAUUUGAUUUGAUUGGUUAUGAUAGUGUAAAUGCCCGGGUGCCGGGACACAACUUGAAGACUAAUGCACGGCCCUUGGGCAAGCUGAGAGUGGAAAAUGCCCCACCCUGGAGACGAUUUUACAGUCGAUUUCACGAAACUUUGAUCACAAAUGUUCCGAACUUCGUUGCGAAGUUCACAAGCCAAUUUGUAAACAAAGUCCCUGAUUGGUCUGUGAAGUAAAAGAAGCCAAUCAAAUGCGUAGCUUACGAACCGGUUUGUGAAUCUCAUUAUGAACUUUUGAACUUCGCAACAAUCUUGUGAACUUCGCAACGAAGUUCGGAAAAUUUGUGGUCAAAGUUUCGUGAAAUCGACUGUAAACGUUAAU